UCGGUCCCGCCAUUCCAAACGAUAUGCCAUUCGCACCAUCUGUUCCUUCAUGCUACCGCCACCCCCCUGUUCGGUCUCUUAUCCGUCCUGCAACCUCUUCUUGUGUCGGUCCCGCCAUUCCAAACGAUAUGCCAUUCGCACCAUCUGUUCCUUCAUACUACCGCCAUCCUCCCUGUUGGGUCUCUCCUCCGUCCAGCAACCACUUCGGUCGGAUUAUCGCGCACUAACUCUUCCUCUCUCCCGCCACGCACCCCGUUCUCUUGCCAUCUGCGACUGAGUGCCUUGAGUCCCUUUUUCUUCUGCCCCUCCUCCAUCCACUGCCUCCUACAGAUGACCCUCCCUCCAAUGAAUGGCGGCCGGGACCCUCGCUCCGCCGUUUCCUUCUCUAAUCGGCCCAUCGCUGCUUGCCGAUCACCCUCAUAUGUCCGUUUGCGACCACCAAAACCGUUCCUCUCCAUCGAAACACUACCAGUACAUGCUCCGCCCUUUGCAGCACUUCACGCCUCUCUGAUUUGUUCCUUAAUAAUUGCUCGACGGGAAUGGACAGUUGCCUCUCCUUUUCUUUUCUCACGCUCUGUCCCAAUUCAUUCUCAGCCCUCUUGCUCCUACAUAUUGGUCGACGGAACGCCCUGAGAGUUGCUUUAAUCUCAUUUUUCGCGCCGGCAAGUCAUAGCCAUUGUAGCGUAAGCAUGCUCUGCCUGCCUGUGUUGUCUCCAUGCACUUAUUUAGCGAUUGAAAUAUACCACGCUUUCCUCACCAAGUUUUUUCUCAUUCACUGAUGUUUACUGCCCAUAUAACCCCUGGUACACACAGCUAUUGGCCUCGAAAAGUUCGGUUGUUAUGAUCCUAUUUUGUUGUAAAGGCGCUGGACUUCAGCCUUAAUUUGGUACCAUUUUCAAAUAAAAAUUCUUAUUUUUAAACUUGAAUUUGCAGCUAUCUAGAUGUGUUCUUAACGGUCCUCGAGGGUUAGUUUAGUUCGUUAUCCCCUCCCUUUGCAUGCGGAAUCAUUGUUGUAAUGAAAUUUUUCGCUCACCUUGCUCGGAGCACAGAGUUGUCAUGGUCUGGUUCUUAUUUUGGGUUCUGUUGGGCAAGUCCAUGUAGAAUUUUCAGAUACAUAAAUUAUUUCUUUUACUGCAUGGAAGCCUGUUUCCCAUUUAUUUUUAUUGUUUUAUAUUCUCAGUUAUUCUCAUCUUUAUUGUUUUAUACUCUCAGUUAUUCUCAUCUUUAUUGUUUUAUACUCUCAGUUAUUCUCUUGUCUUGCUCGAUUUUGGUGCAGCACGAUUGGUAUUGACUUGGGUACUACAAAUUAAACUCUUGUGUUGCCCUCAUGGAAGGAAAGCUGAGCAUUUCGAUAUUCCCGAUAUGCUGUUUUCUAAUUAUUUCAAGGGCCUAUUUACGUCUAACUGUUGUGACUUAUAUGCUGGUCAAGUCUGUAGAACCCCGGAGUUAUCGAAAAUGUCAGAGGAGCUGGGACCACUCCAACUUGGCUGCCUUCAACCAGAAGGCUGAAGUCCUUACUGGUACAACAGCAAAACGACAGGCAGUGAGCAAUCCGAAAAAUAUGGUUUUGGAACCGAGCAUUUGUUUGGAAGACCCUUUGAUGAUCCCCAAACUCAGAAAGAAACGAAGAUGGUACUGUAUGAAAUCAUUAGGCCUCCAAAUGGAGAUGCCUGGGUUGAGGCUGAUGGAGAUCAGUAUUCCGGAAUUACUGCCAAAUUGGUGCCUUCAUCCUCACUUAGAUGGAGACUGUGGAGACAUAUAUGGGACUUGAUGUCUAGAGAAUCAUCGAUGAGCCCACUGCAGCUGAACUAUCAUAUUGUAUGAACAACAGGGAAGGUCUAAUCGUGAUUUUCGAUCUUGGUGAUGGAGCAUUUGAUAUUUCCACCUUGCAGACAUCUAAUGGUGUUUUGAGGGUACGCAUCAGCAACAUUAUCGUGAAUUGAACUCAUUUUGUUCUGCAUCUUGCAUAAGUUUUCAGUAGAAACUCUCAGUGUGCACCUGCACGUUAAACCACCAGUGGUAACACAUUGUUGGAAGGAGAGGAUUUCUUUCGACAAUGCUCUGUCGGACUGCUUAGUCAAUGAGUUCAGUAGAACCAAGGGAAUUGAUCGUUCCAAGGACAAGCUUGCCCUACAAAGACUACGACCUUUAUGAUCCACCUAUAUUUUGAGGCUCAUGGCCUAAUUGGCUCGAUCAAUUUCAGGUCACCAGAAAUAGGAAUUACCACUGGCACCACUGGUGAUGCUUCUUCUCUGAAAUCAAAGAUUUCAAUUAUUAAUACUUAGAGUGCAGACUGUCGCCAUCGUCAACAUCACUGUUGACCCGGGUCGCCAUGAUCACUAACGCCGACAAGAUUUCACCAAGUCUUCCAUCGUCGGUCAGCUCUAUGGUGUUGAAGAAGCUGAUGAUAAUCCUAAUUCCGAUUGUGUCCAAAUGGCCUAGGAGGCGGGCCUCAUCAUGCCCCCUCCUCAGCCAUGAGUCUUGUUAUCAUGGAAUUGUCGCGGGGGGGUGUUUUGGGAGGCAACCCGACAAUUCGAGCUGUUCCCCUCCUCCUCCGAAAAAAAUAAAGCAAGCAUGCUAUUCCCUUAGGAGACAAAAACAUGCCAUGAACGAUGUGCCAAUGUGGCUUGCCGCUGCAAACUUGAUCAAUUUUUCUCUGUCGAUGCUCGGAGAUCAGCCGGUGGACUAUAUCUCAUGUGGAACUCCGAUAUAAAGGCAAAACUUUUGAUCUUGUAACUGCUCUUCACCAGAUUUAUGUUGCAUAUCACGAACAUUCCAAGGCCAGGAGGCUCCUAACCCCUAGAGAAAUCCCGUCCUUGCUCACUCCGUGCCAGCCUUGCGACUUCACAAGGAUCUCAUCAAGAUUAACACUGACGCUGCAUGGAGCUCGCACAGGACCUGUCUCUCAAGACUUGCAGCUCAGCCUGAUGGAACGACCAUUCUCUCUUGACACUCCAUAGUUGAUGCUCUCUCCCCCCUCUACGUGGAAACAUUGGCUGCAUUACAGGCUCUCUUCAUUAUUGUCGAUAGUGGUUGGGACAAGAUAUGGUUAGAAUGUGAUGCCUUGCUACUUGUGGAAGCCAUCUCCAAUCCCCAUUCAUCGCGUUGGGAGAUUAGAUUACUUAUUUCAGAUAUUAGGCUACUCCUAGAUAGGUUUUCUUAUUAGCAUUGCUCUUGGACCUCUCAUUCGAAUAACCGUUGUGCCCAUGACUUGGGCCAUUUUGGCUUCAUGUUAGAUUUUCAUUUCCUAUGCAUGUUUUACGGUUACCCUUUUAUCUCGGAUAUCAUUUAGUAAUUCAAUAAAAUUCUAUUUAAAUAUAAAAAAAAAUAUCAGCGCCCAUCCAUUUAAUAAAGAA